rnacentral:rRNA from 1 species
AGUGAACGCUGGCGGUAGGCCUAACACAUGCAAGUCGAACGGCAGCACUGUAAGAGCUUGCUCUUACGGGUGGCGAGUGGCGGACGGGUGAGGAAUACAUCGGAAUCUACUUUUUCGUGGGGGAUAACGUAGGGAAACUUACGCUAAUACCGCAUACGACCUACGGGUGAAAGCAGGGGAUCUUCGGACCUUGCGCGAUUGAAUGAGCCGAUGUCGGAUUAGCUAGUUGGCGGGGUAAAGGCCCACCAAGGCGACGAUCCGUAGCUGGUCUGAGAGGAUGAUAAGCCACACUGGAACUGAGACACGGUCCAGACUCCUACGGGAGGCAGCAGUGGGGAAUAUUGGACAAUGGGCGCAAGCCUGAUCCAGCCAUACCGCGUGGGUGAAGAAGGCCUUCGGGUUGUAAAGCCCUUUUGUUGGGAAAGAAAAGCAGCAGGUUAAUACCCCGCUGUUCUGACGGUACCCAAAGAAUAAGCACCGGCUAACUUCGUG